UUGUUGAGCCUUGGAUACUUUCUUUGAGCCAUGUGACUCACCACAGCUUUCCUUGACUUUAGACCUGACAUGUUGAGCAAUUAAGGGAGGUGUGUCAGCUACUCAAGUGCAAAGGAGCCUUGACUUUAGACCAGACAUGUUGAGCAAUUUAGGGAGCAAUUUAGGGAGGUGUUUCAGCUACUCAAAGGCAAAGGAUUCACUCAAUUGACCAAUAAUUCACUCCAGCCAUCCUAUAUCACUCCAUUCAGCCCAAAAUCAGAGGGGGGAACAACUCCAACAAGCCUUCCUUCCAUUUCCUACGAAUUUGUUCUUUCUCUGCCAUCACCAACCACCCAAACUCAUCCCAAAUCACCUCUUUAGUUGCCAUACUCUAGACAUGAGAAAGUUCUUGGAGUAGCAUUAGACGUGGAGAAGCACCUGUAGAAGCCUUGGAAACCACAAGCAACUUCAGAAUUGGGUUUCUCUACUCUUAUUGCAUUCAAUAUGUUUUCUCAUUUUUGCUUAAGUUUCAUUUCCAUUAUGAGUAGCUAAAUUCAUAACUAGGGCUAUGAUGUAACCUAACAUGAAUAUUCUGGGUUUAUAAGUUGAAGUUUUGAGUUUCAAGUUUGAUUCAUGAUUCA